rnacentral:rRNA from 1 species
AUACCCGCAGCCCAAGUGGUGGUCGAUUUUAUUGAGUCUAAAACGUUCGUAGCCGGUUCAUUAAAUCCUUGGGUAAAUCGGAUGGCUUAACUAUCCGAAUUCCGGGGAGACUGGUGAACUUGGGACCGGGAGAGGCAAGAGGUACUUUUGGGGUAGGGGUAAAAUCCUGUAAUCCUAAAAGGACCACCGGUGGCGAAGGCGUCUUGCUAGAACGGAUCCGACGGUGAGGGACGAAGCCCUGGGUCGCAAACGGGAUUAGAUACCCCGGUAGUCCAGGGUGUAAACGCUGCAGACUUGGUGUUGGGGACCCUUCGGGGGUGUUCAGUGCCGGAGAGAAGUUGUUAAGUCUGCUACUUGGGGAGUACGUCCGCAAGGAUGAAACUUAAAGGAAUUGGCGGGG